rnacentral:rRNA from 1 species
ACGGGUGAGUAACACGUAGGUAACCUGCCAAUGAGACUGGGAUAACUAUCGGAAACGAUAGCUAAGACCGGAUAACUGGUUUUCUCGCAUGAGAGAAUCAUGAAACACGGAGCAAUCUGUGGCUUAUAGAUGGGCCUGCGGCGCAUUAGCUAGUUGGUAGGGUAAUGGCCUACCAAGGCGACGAUGCGUAGCCGACCUGAGAGGGUGAACGGCCACACUGGGACUGAGACACGGCCCAGACUCCUACGGGAGGCAGCAGUAGGGAAUCUUCCGCAAUGGACGCAAGUCUGACGGAGCAACGCCGCGUGAGUGAUGAAGGUUUUCGGAUCGUAAAGCUCUGUUGCCCUAGACGAACAGCAAGGAGAGUAACUGCUCUUUGUGUGACGGUAUAGGAGAAGAAAGCCCCGGCUAACUACGUGCCAGCAGCCGCGGUAAUACGUAGGGGGCAAGCGUUGUCCGGAAUUAUUGGGCGUAAAGCGCGCGCAGGCGGUCAAUUAAGUUGGGUGUUUAAGCCCGGGGCUCAACCCCGGUUCGCAUCCAAAACUGGUUGACUUGAGUGUAGGAGAGGAAAGUGGAAUUCCACGUGUAGC